rnacentral:lncRNA from 1 species
AUGGAGCAGAUUUACACCCGUGUAACCCAGAUUGCAUCCGAGUCCUCUGCCGAUGGCACCACGUUACAGCAGCCCUCUCCCAGCUCUUUCCAUUGCCUGCCCGUUCCCUCACCAAGCCCUGAGCAUCCCCUCUCCAACACCUGCUGCACUGCAAAGAAAAGAAGAGUGGUGGUCAUUGACAAAGGCUUUAUUCACCUUGCAGCCAAACUUGGUUUCUGGAGGGGGAGAAACCAGCAUCCUAAGGUGGAUCUAUAUUUGAAUAUCUUUACUAUAUCCACCCAGGGGGUGGAUGGAGGAUUACCACCACUGUCAGGGCCCAGAGAUGUCCCUGUCUGGUGAGCCCAACACAACCCGAGGUGUCCCCAAGGUGUCCUGACCCCCCCACCAGUUCCAGGAUCCAGCCUGCAUCCCUCCUCCAGCAUCGUGUGGGAGCUGCUUGGGAAACCACCCCACUCACAGCAUCUCUUCUGCACAGGGUUGCCUUCUCACCUGCCCCAUUCCUGCUCUCCCAGGUGUGCCCAGCACCUUUUUUAAAAAAAAAAUAAAAAUCUGACAGUGUGUGGGUGAGCA